GACGAACGCUGGCGGCGUGCCUAACACAUGCAAGUCGAGCGAGAAAGUCUCCUUCGGGAGAUGAGUAAAGCGGCGAACGGGUGAGUAACACGUGAGCGAUCUACCCGGCGGCGGGGGAUAACUCAGGGAAACCUGAGCUAAUACCGCAUACAGCACUGGCUUGGAAGCCGGAUGUGAAAGUUGGCCUCUCGAAGAAGCUGACACCGUCGGAUGAGCUCGCGGCCUAUCAGCUAGUUGGUGGGGUAACGGCCUACCAAGGCGAUGACGGGUAGCUGGCGUGAGAGCGUGGCCAGCCACACUGGGACUGAGACACGGCCCAGACUCCUACGGGAGGCAGCAGUGGGGAAUAUUGCGCAAUGGGCGAAAGCCUGACGCAGCGACGCCGCGUGGGGGAGGAAGGCCCCAGGGUUGUAAACCCCUGUCAGGUGGGACGAACCACGGAUCGGUCAAUACCCGGUCCGCCUGACGGUACCACCAGAGGAAGCUCCGGCUAACUCCGUGCCAGCAGCCGCGGUAAUACGGAGGGAGCGAGCGUUGUUCGGAAUCACUGGGCGUAAAGGGCGCGU
rnacentral:rRNA from 1 species